GUAGGUGGCAAGCGUUGUCCGGAAUUAUUGGGCGUAAAGCGUGCGCAGGCGGUUCUUUAAGUCUGAUGUGAAAGCCCACGGGCUCAACCGUGGAGGGUCAUUGGAAACUGGAGAACUUGAGUACAGAAGAGGAAAGCGGAAUUCCACGUGUAGCGGUGAAAUGCGUAGAGAUGUGGAGGAACACCAGUGGCGAAGGCGGCUUUCUGGUCUGUAACUGACGCUGAGGCGCGAAAGCGUGGGGAGCAAACAGGAUUAGAUACCCUGGUAGUCCACGCCGUAAACGAUGAGUGCUAAGUGUUAGGGGGUUUCCGCCCCUUAGUGCUGCAGCUAACGCAUUAAGCACUCCGCCUGGGGAGUACGGCCGCAAAGGCUG
rnacentral:rRNA from 1 species